rnacentral:rRNA from 1 species
GAUGAACGCUAGCUACAGGCUUAACACAUGCAAGUCGAGGGGAAACGACAUCGAAAGCUUGCUUUUGAUGGGCGUCGACCGGCGCACGGGUGAGUAACGCGUAUCCAACCUGCCCACCACUUGGGGAUAACCUUGCGAAAGUAAGACUAAUACCCAAUGAUAUCUCUAGAAGACAUCUGAAAGAGAUUAAAGAUUUAUCGGUGAAGGAUGGGGAUGCGUCUGAUUAGCUUGUUGGCGGGGUAACGGCCCACCAAGGCGACGAUCAGUAGGGGUUCUGAGAGGAAGGUCCCCCACAUUGGAACUGAGACACGGUCCAAACUCCUACGGGAGGCAGCAGUGAGGAAUAUUGGUCAAUGGACGAGAGUCUGAACCAGCCAAGUAGCGUGCAGGAUGACGGCCCUAUGGGUUGUAAACUGCUUUUAUAAGGGAAUAAAGUGAGUCUCGUGAGACUUUUUGCAUGUACCUUAUGAAUAAGGACCGGCUAAUUCCGUGCCAGCAGCAGCCGCGG